rnacentral:rRNA from 1 species
GACGAACGCUGGCGGCGUGCUUAACACAUGCGAGUCGAACGGGCCUGUCUUCUUUUUUGGGGGGUGGGUUGAGUGGCGAACGGGUGAGUAUCACGUGAGUAACCUGCCCUUCGGUCCUGGAUAACCGCUUGAAAGGGCGGCUAAUACGGGGUGGUCCGGUUGGUCCGCAUGGGCUGGUCGGGAUAGAUUCACUGUUUUUGGUGUUUCGGCGGGGGAUGGGCUCGCGGCCUAUCAGCUUGUUGGUGGGGUGGUGGCCUACCAAGGCGGUGGCGGGUAGCCGGCCUGGGGUGGUGGGCGGCCACGCUUGGACUGAGAUACGGCCCAGACUCCUGCGGGAGGCAGCAGUGGGGGGUAUUGCACAAUGGGCGGAAGCCUGAUGCAGCGACGUCGCGUGAGGGAUGGAGGCCUUCGGGUUGUGAACCUCUGUUUCCGGUGGUGAAGGCCCUGUCCGUGUGGUGGGGUUGACGGUAGCCGGGGAUGAAGCGCCGGCUAACUACGUG